GAUGAACGCUGGCGGCGUGCCUAAUACAUGCAAGUCGAGCGAACAGACGAUGAGCUUGUUCCUCUGCCGUUAGCGGCGGACGGGUGAGUAACACGUGGAUAACUUACCUAUAUGACUGGGAUAACUUCGGGAAACCGGCUCUAAUACCGGAUCAUAUAUUCAACCGCAUGGUUCACUAGUUAAAGACGGCUUUGCUGUCUCUUUCAGCCGUAUCCGCGGCGCCUUAUCUAGUUGGUAAGGUAACGGCUUACCAAGGCGACGAUGCGUAGCUGACCUGAGAGGGUGAUCGGCCACACUGGAACUGAGACACGGUCGAGACUCCUACGGGAGGCAGCAGUAGGGAAUAUUCCGCAAUGGGCGGAAGCCUGACCGAGCAAUGCCGCGUGAGUGAUGAAGGUCUUCGGAUCGUAAAACUCUCUUGUUAGGGAAGAAAAAAUGUGUAAGUAACUAUACACGUUUUGACGGUACCUAAACAGAAAGCCACGGCUAACUUCGUG
rnacentral:rRNA from 1 species